CCUACGGGGGGCUGCAGUGAGGAAUAUUGGUCAAUGGACGGAAGUCUGAACCAGCCAUGCCGCGUGCAGGAAGACGGCUCUAUGAGUUGUAAACUGCUUUUAUACGAGAUUAAACCUGGCUACGUGUAGUCAGCUGAAAGUAUCGUAAGAAUAAGGAUCGGCUAACUCCGUGCCAGCAGCCGCGGUAAUACGGAGGAUCCAAGCGUUAUCCGGAUUUAUUGGGUUUAAAGGGUGCGUAGGCGGUUUUAUAAGUUAGAGGUGAAAUCCCGUGGCUCAACCACGGAACUGCCUCUGAUACUGUAAGACUAGAGAAUGGUUGCUGUGGGCGGAAUGUGUGGUGUAGCGGUGAAAUGCUUAGAGAUCACACAGAACACCGAUUGCGAAGGCAGCUCACAAAGCCAUAUCUGACGCUGAGGCACGAAAGCGUGGGGAGCAAACAG
rnacentral:rRNA from 1 species